GUUAUCCUGCCCCUGUGUGUGCUGCAGUGUGAUGCUGGAAAAAUACUAGCACCUGGGGGCGUUGGAGGAACAUACACAUAUAAGGUGCAGUGAGAGUUCCUAAGAAAAGAGCUCUUCUGGGCUUGGGGAGGGCAGAAGAGGCUUCCUGGGGAAGAUGGCACUGGAUCUUUAUGGAGGAGCAGGAUUCGAAAUGGUAGAGGAGAGAGAGUGAAGUGGAAGAGAUCUUGCAACAUUUCCUGCCCCACUGACCCCCUACUUUGGGCCUUAGCCCCAAGAGAAGAAGUAUGACUACCCUACUGUUCACAAACAAAGAUGUGGAAUCAACCUAAGUGUCCAUCAAUGGAUAAUUGGAUAAAGAAAAUGUGGCAUAGAUCUAUACAAUGGAAUACUAUUCAGCUAUAAAAAAGACUGAAAUCACAUCUUUUACAAAAACAUGGAUGAAACUGGAGGCCAUUCUCUUUAAGUGAAAUCACUCGGAAAUAGAAAGUCAAAUACCGCAUGUUCUCACUUACAAGUGGGAGCUACAUAAUAUGUACUCAUGGACAUAGAGUGUGGAAUGAUGGACAUUGGAGACUUGGAAGGGUGGAGGUGGAUGGGAGGGGUUGAGGGAUGAGAAAUUAUUUAAUAGGUACAAUGUAUAUUAUUUCGGUGAUGGUUACACUAAAAACCCAGACUUCACCACUGGGCAAUAUAUCCGUGUAAUAAAACUGCAUUUGUACCCCUUAAAUUUAUACAACUAAUAAAUAAAGAAGUAUGGCUACUCUUCUAGAGAAAUAACAUGGAGAGGUCCUGAACAGCAGCA
rnacentral:lncRNA from 10 species